rnacentral:rRNA from 1 species
AGAACGAACGCUGGCGGCAUGCCUAACACAUGCAAGUCGAACGAGACCUUCGGGUCUAGUGGCGCACGGGUGCGUAACGCGUGGGAAUCUGCCCUUAGGUUCGGAAUAACAGUUAGAAAUGACUGCUAAUACCGGAUAAUGACGUAAGUCCAAAGAUUUAUCGCCUAGGGAUGAGCCCGCGUAGGAUUAGCUAGUUGGUGGGGUAAAAGCCUACCAAGGCGACGAUCCUUAGCUGGUCUGAGAGGAUGAUCAGCCACACUGGGACUGAGACACGGCCCAGACUCCUACGGGAGGCAGCAGUGGGGAAUAUUGGACAAUGGGCGAAAGCCUGAUCCAGCAAUGCCGCGUGAGUGAUGAAGGCCUUAGGUGUAAAGCUCUUUACCCGGGAUGAUAAUGACAGUACCGGAGAAUAAGCUCCGGCUAACUCCGCGCCAGCAGCCGC